CAUAUCAAUAAGCGGAGGAAAAGAAACCAACAGGGAUUGUCUUAGUAACGGCGAGUGAAGCGACAAGAGCUCAAAUUUGAAAUCUGGUUUCGUCAGAAGCCCGAGUUGUAAUUUGAAGAUAAUUUGUUUGGGAAGGCCCCCUGCUCAAGUUCCUUGGAACAGGACGUCUUAGAGGGUGAGAAUCCCGUAGGAUGGGGGAGCUGGACUGUGUAAACAGUUAUCGACGAGUCGAGUUGUUUGGGAAUGCAGCUCUAAGUGGGUGGUAAAUUCCAUCUAAAGCUAAAUAUUGGCGAGAGACCGAUAGCGAACAAGUACAGUGAUGGAAAGAUGAAAAGAACUUUGAAAAGAGAGUGAAACAGUACGUGAAAUUGUUGAAAGGGAAGGUUAUUAGAUCAGACAUGGAUGGACGGUGUUUGUGUCCACUUGUUGGAUGCUUGAGCCGCUGUUCAGGCCAGCAUCGAUUCGGGUGGCGGGAUAAAUGCAUUGGAACGUGGCUGGCCCUCGGGCUCAGUGUUUAUAGCCUUUGCUUCUGCCGCCAACCUGGAUCGAGGAAUGCGCUUUUUCGGAAGCUAGGAUGCUGGCGUAAUGAUCUAAUAUCGC
rnacentral:rRNA from 1 species